GUCCACGCCGUAAACGAUGAUAACUAGCUGUCCGGGCACUUGGUGUUUGGGUGGCGCAGCUAACGCAUUAAGUUAUCCGCCUGGGGAGUACGGCCGCAAGGUUAAACUCAAAGAAAUUGACGGGGCCUGCACAAGCGGUGGAGCAUGUGGUUUAAUUCGAAGCAACGCGCAGAACCUUACCAACGUUUGACAUCCCUAGUGUGGAUCGUGGAGACACUUUCCUCAGUUCGGCUGGCUAGGUGACAGGUGCUGCAUGGCUGUCGU
rnacentral:rRNA from 1 species